GUUUGAUAUUACAAUUUUCUUGUUUAUUUCUGGGAAGUGUGUUUAUUAUUUUCGGUUUGUUAUUGUAGAAUCUGACCGCGCAUUAUCCAAAAACUCUACUCCUGGCAUUGACAUCCGAAAAAAUAGUCACUAUAUCAGCUACGGCAAUUCAAUGUUCCGUUAGUACGGAGAGCAAAAAAGUAGCGACUUGGCAUGAUGAGCUUUUGUCACACGUUGCUUCUUGUCUCGAACAUCCGGCGCAAGCUUUCACAUUGAAUUUACGCUCGAUAAAAUCAUAUCACUUCACACGUGCGCUCUGUACAUUGUUGCAAGACUUGAAAGUGGAACAUUGUAUUGGUGACUGGGAAAAGUAUACGGCUAAGUAACGCAAGCACAGACCAUCUACCGUGGUGUCCAGCGAUAUCAGUUACAAAUCGCACGUGUGUAUGAAGAACAGUCCGGUGUAAACCGGGAGGUAUUGGAUUCACAAUAUCUAACGGCGUGCCAGAAGUAAAACAUUUGCUAUCAGCGGCGUGGAAUAUGGACGCUACGUGCAGGAUUAAAAUAUUACCUGCUGGUGCACACUUGUCUAAUUUGAGUGCUGAUAAGCGCGAGUCCAACGAAAACGAAGGCACAGAAGUUGUAAACAAACCGAAUCACAAGGAAACUGCCGACAAACUGGACAUACCGCUUCCGCCAUCGCCAGCUUUGAGCACCUGCAGCGAUACCGGCAGCAUCACAAGUCAUAGUAAAAUGAGCGACAAAAACGCAUGGCAUCCCCGAAGAGAAAGAGAGUCUGAGAGAAAUUACGAAGAAGACUGGAAAUGAAAAGAUGUCGUUUUUGUUGAAGACGUCAAGACUGUAUAUAUUGAGAGAUUUCUAAAAGUCGAUGGUUGCUAUGUGGCAGUAACAUUUUUUUCAAAAGAUUUGAAAGAGAAAGAUACAAACAAAAAAGAUUUCAAUACGUCUAAUUUAGAAGAUCUUACAACAGAACAGCCAAUAAAAUUAUCAGCUGAUUGUAGACUGUAAUAAAGACAUCAGUAAAUCCACAAACCUCCGAUUGUUUCCAAAUAACACCUAGAAGAGUCUGUAUUGUAAAUGGUUCAAACGAUAGUUUGUUAUCUAUAUCCAACAACGGACAAGGUAUCCAUGCUAUUUUUAUAAGUGGAAGUAAGUUGAGUUAUGUGGUUUACAGUGGAAGUAAAGGUAUCUUCAGGAUUGUUAUAUUCCAUCUGAUAUAUCGUCAUUUUUGGGAUUGCAAUCUCAGAAUAUUAAUCUUACAAAUGCAGA